rnacentral:rRNA from 1 species
CCCUUUGUGAACUUAUACCUUAUUGUUGCCUCGGCGAAGGCCGGCCUCUCUUCUGAGGCCCCCCGGAAACGGGGAGCAGCCCGCCGGUGGCUAACCAAACUCUUGUUUCUUAGUGAAUCUCUGAGUAAAAAAACAUAAAUGAAUCAAAACUUUCAACAACGGAUCUCUUGGUUCUGGCAUCGAUGAAGAACGCAGCGAAAUGCGAUAAGUAAUGUGAAUUGCAGAAUUCAGUGAAUCAUCGAAUCUUUGAACGCACAUUGCGCCCUCUGGUAUUCCGGAGGGCAUGCCUGUUCGAGCGUCAUUUCAACCCUCAAGCCUGGCUUGGUGUUGGGGCACUGCCUGUAAAAGGGCAGGCCCUGAAAUCUAGUGGCGAGCUCGCUAGGACCCCGAGCGUAGUAGUUAUAUCUCGUUCUGGAAGGCCCUGGCGGUGCCCUGCCGUUAAACCCCCAACUUCUGAAAUUUUGACCUCGGAUCAGGUAGGAAUACCCGCUGAACUUAAGCAUAU